GACUCGGACCCAUGCGGUCACGACGCCCAAAUCUGGUCAGGACCGGAAGGUAGCAGCCACACGGGAUGCUCGGGGCAGGCGUGGAAUCCGGGUCACC
rnacentral:SRP_RNA from 2 species